CGAACGCUGGCGGCGUGCUUAACACAUGCAAGUCGAACGGAAAGGCCCUGCUUUUGUGGGGUGCUCGAGUGGCGAACGGGUGAGUAACACGUGAGUAACCUGCCCUUGACUUUGGGAUAACUUCAGGAAACUGGGGCUAAUACCGGAUAGGAGCUCCUGCUGCAUGGUGGGGGUUGGAAAGUUUCGGCGGUUGGGGAUGGACUCGCGGCUUAUCAGCUUGUUGGUGGGGUAGUGGCUUACCAAGGCUUUGACGGGUAGCCGGCCUGAGAGGGUGACCGGCCACAUUGGGACUGAGAUACGGCCCAGACUCCUACGGGAGGCAGCAGUGGGGAAUAUUGCACAAUGGGCGGAAGCCUGAUGCAGCAACGCCGCGUGCGGGAUGACGGCCUUCGGGUUGUAAACCGCUUUCGCCUGUGACGAAGCGUGAGUGACGGUAAUGGGUAAAGAAGCACCGGCUAACUACGUGCCAGCAGCCGCGGUGAUACGUAGGGUGCGAGCGUUGUCCGGAUUUAUUGGGCGUAAAGGGCUCGUAGGUGGUUGAUCGCGUCGGAAGUGUAAUCUUGGGGCUUAACCCUGAGCGUGCUUUCGAUACGGGUUGACUUGAGGAAGGUAGGGGAGAAUGGAAUUCCUGGUGGAGCGGUGGAAUGCGCAGAUAUCAGGAGGAACACCAGUGGCGAAGGCGGUUCUCUGGGCCUUUCCUGACGCUGAGGAGCGAAAGCGUGGGGAGCGAACAGGCUUAGAUACCCUGGUAGUCCACGCUGUAAACGGUGGGUACUAGGUGUGGGGUCCAUUCCACGGGUUCCGUGCCGUAGCUAACGCUUUAAGUACCCCGCCUGGGGAGUACGGCCGCAAGGCUAAAACUCAAAGGAAUUGACGGGGCCCCGCACAAGCGGCGGAGCAUGCGGAUUAAUUCGAUGCAACGCGUAGAACCUUACCUGGGUUUGACAUGGAUCGGGAGUGCUCAGAGAUGGGUGUGCCUCUUUUGGGGUCGGUUCACAGGUGGUGCAUGGCUGUCGUCAGCUCGUGUCGUGAGAUGUUGGGUUAAGUCCCGCAACGAGCGCAACCCUUGUUCACUGUUGCCAGCACGUUAUGGUGGGGACUCAGUGGAGACCGCCGGGGUCGACUCGGAGGAAGGUGGGGAUGACGUCAAGUCAUCAUGCCCCUUAUGUCCAGGGCUUCACGCAUGCUACAAUGGCUGGUACAGAGAGUGGCGAGCCUGUGAGGGUGAGCGAAUCUCGGAAAGCCGGUCUCAGUUCGGAUUGGGGUCUGCAACUCGACCUCAUGAAGUCGGAGUCGCUAGUAAUCGCAGAUCAGCAACGCUGCGGUGAAUACGUUCCCGGGGCUUGUACACACCGCCCGUCAAGUCAUGAAAGUUGGUAACACCCGAAGCCGGUGGCCUAACCGUUGUGGGGGAGCCGUCGAAGGUGGGACUGGUGAUUAGGAC
rnacentral:rRNA from 1 species